AGUGAACGCUGGCGGUAGGCCUAACACAUGCAGGUCGAACGGCAGCACAGUAAGAGCUUGCUCUUACGGGUGGCGAGUGGCGGACGGGUGAGGAAUACAUCGGAAUCUACUUUUUCGUGGGGGAUAACGUAGGGAAACUUACGCUAAUACCGCAUACGACCUACGGGUGAAAGCAGGGGAUCUUCGGACCUUGCGCGAUUGAAUGAGCCGAUGUCGGAUUAGCUAGUUGGCGGGGUAAAGGCCCACCAAGGCGACGAUCCGUAGCUGGUCUGAGAGGAUGAUCAGCCACACUGGAACUGAGACACGGUCCAGACUCCUACGGGAGGCAGCAGUGGGGAAUAUUGGACAAUGGGCGCAAGCCUGAUCCAGCCAUACCGCGUGGGUGAAGAAGGCCUUCGGGUUGUAAAGCCCCUUUGUUGGGAAAGAAAAGCAGCAGGUUAAUACCCCGCUGUUCUGACGGUACCCAAAGAAUAAGCACCGGCUAACUUCGUG
rnacentral:rRNA from 1 species